UUAGGAAUAUUGGGCAAUGGAGGAAACUCUGACCCAGCAACGCCGCGUGAAGGAAGAAGGUUUUCGGAUUGUAAACUUCUGAUCUGUGGGAAGAAGAGAAUGACGGUACCACAGGAGAAAGCCACGGCUAACUACGUGCCAGCAGCCGCGGUAAUACGUAGGUGGCGAGCGUUGUCCGGAAUAACUGGGCGUAAAGGGAGCGUAGGUGGUUGAUUAAGUUAAAUGUGAAAGCCCAGGGCUCAACUCUGGAACUGCAUUUAAUACUGGUCGGCUAGAGUACAGGAGGGGUAAACGGAAUUUCUAGUGUAGCGGUGAAAUGCGUAGAUAUUAGGAAGAACACCGGAGGCGAAGGCGGUUUACUGGACUGCAACUGACACUGAGGCUCGAAAGCGUGGGGAGCAAACAGG
rnacentral:rRNA from 1 species